rnacentral:rRNA from 1 species
UACAGAGGGUGCAAGCGUUAAUCGGAAUUACUGGGCGUAAAGCGCGCGUAGGCGGCUGAUUAAGUCGGAUGUGAAAUCCCCGGGCUCAACCUGGGAACUGCAUACGAUACUGAUCGGCUAGAGUAUGAGAGAGGGAGGUAGAAUUCCACGUGUAGCGGUGAAAUGCGUAGAUAUUCGGAAGAACACCAGUGGCGAAGGCGACUCACUGGACACAUAUUGACGCUGAGGUGCGAAAGCGUGGGGAG